rnacentral:rRNA from 1 species
GACGAACGCUGGAGGCGUGCUUAACACAUGCAAGUCGAACGGAAAGGCCCUGCUUUUGUGGGGUGCUCGAGUGGCGAACGGGUGAGUAACACGUGAGUAACCUGCCCUUGACUUUGGGAUAACUUCAGGAAACUGGGGCUAAUACCGGAUAGGAGCUCCUGCUGCAUGGUGGGGGUUGGAAAGUUUCGGCGGUUGGGGAUGGACUCGCGGCUUAUCAGCUUGUUGGUGGGGUAGUGGCUUACCAAGGCUUUGACGGGUAGCCGGCCUGAGAGGGUGACCGGCCACAUUGGGACUGAGAUACGGCCCAGACUCCUACGGGGGGCAGCAGUGGGGAAUAUUGCACAAUGGGCGGAAGCCUGAUGCAGCAACGCCGCGUGCGGGAUGACGGCCUUCGGGUUGUAAACCGCUUUCGCCUGUGACGAAGCGUGAGUGACGGUAAUGGGUAAAGAAGCACCGGCUAACUACGUG